UACGUAGGGUGCGAGCGUUAAUCGGAAUUACUGGGCGUAAAGCGUGCGCAGGCGGUUCGUCGUGUCCGAUGUGAAAGCCCCGGGCUCAACCUGGGAAUGGCAUUGGAAACUGGCGGACUCGAGUGUGGCAGAGGGGGGUGGAAUUCCGCGUGUAGCAGUGAAAUGCGUAGAGAUGUGGAGGAACACCGAUGGCGAAGGCAGCCCCCUGGGCCAAUACUGACGCUCAUGCACGAAAGCGUGGGGAGCAAACAGG
rnacentral:rRNA from 1 species